rnacentral:rRNA from 1 species
UACGAAGGGGGGCUAGCGUUGUUCGGAAUUACUGGGCGUAAAGCGCGCGUAGGCGGCUUUGCAAGUCGGGUGUGAAAUCCCCAGGCUUAACCUGGGAACUGCAUUCGAGACUGCAUUGCUAGAGUAUGGGAGAGGGAAGUGGAAUUUCCGGUGUAGCGGUGAAAUGCGUAGAGAUGUGGAGGAAUACCGAUGGCGAAGGCAGCCUCCUGGGCCAACACUGACGCUCAUGCACGAAAGCGUGGGGAGCAAACAGG